rnacentral:rRNA from 1 species
UACAGAGGCCUCGAGCGUUAGGCGGAAUCACUGGGCUUAAAGCGUGUGUAGGUGGAUGCCUAAGUACCUUGUGAAAUCCCAUGGCUUAACCAUGGAAUUGCUUGGUAUACUGGGUGUCUUGAGCCACUCAGGGGCGAGCGGAACAAACGGUGGAGCGGUGAAAUGCGUAGAUAUCGUUUGGAACGCCAAUGGUGAAAACGAGCUACGCUGGGGGU